GUCCUAAUUCCAAUGGCUUCUCAGUGACCUUCCCUCUCUUCUCUUCCCUAUAGGGGAGGUACAUCAGCUUCACCAUAGCGAAGCCGCUCUGCAGGCAGUUGCCCUGCAGCUCAAAGAUCAACCUUCCACCCAACAAGGAGUGCUUUCCCCUCAACAGCUGCUGCUCAUGGAGUGGACAGGAAGAUGAGCUAAGAGACAUCAAGAUGUAUCUGGUGAGGUCAGGGCAGUCAGAAUGGAGACGAUGUGUGAGCCUUUCCACUUUGGACACAAGGGCAUGGGGAUGGAACACCCCAGAUCCACCACCCACAUGACCACCCAGACACCAUUGGGAAAGGCCAUGGCAACUACUACCUUCUUCAGAAAUGUUAGUUCCCUUUCCAUACCCUUAGUAUUUCUCAUGAUACAAAGGAAAACUAUGGUACCCACUUUCCUGAGCUUUAAAAUCUGCUUCCCUCUUGACAGA